rnacentral:misc_RNA from 1 species
CAUCAAACUUGCCUUUCUUUUUCUGUGUAGUCAGGGAGAGAGAUGGCAGAAUGUGAGGUGUCUCGCUGGCUCCCUUUUCGGAGGAGAAGACGCGAGUCCCUUUAAAUGUACGUUCGCUCUUUCUUGUGUCUAAGAUGAAGUGUGAUUCUCGAAUCGCGGUGAUCUGUUUGGAUCGCUUUGCGCAUUUGGGCGACUUCGGUUAGGACAUUAAAGGAAGCAACCUCUAUUGGCGGUAUGUUAGGCUUCGGCCCGACGUUGCAGCUGACAGAGUGUGGUUUUCUGUUCUUUCCUUGAGGUGUACCUGAAUUGUGUGAGGCAAUGGUCUGGGCAAAUGGUUGCUGUGUAGUAGGGUUUUGCUGCUCUUGGACGCCCUGUUUUCGGAUAGGGUAAAGGAGGCAACACCAAUUUGGGACUGUUUGCAAUUUAUUGUGAACAACUUUCUAA